rnacentral:rRNA from 1 species
UACAGAGGUCUCAAGCGUUGUUCGGAUUCAUUGGGCGUAAAGGGUGCGUAGGCGGCGCGGUAAGUCGGGUGUGAAAUCUCGGAGCUUAACUCCGAAACUGCAUUCGAUACUGCCGUGCUUGAGGACUGGAGAGGAGACUGGAAUUUACGGUGUAGGGGUGAAAUCCGUAGAUCUACGAAGGAACGCCAAAAGCGAAGGCAGCUCUCUGGGUCCCUACCGACGCUGGGGUGCGAAAGCAUGGGGAGCGAACAGG